AUUCCCCUAGUAACGGCGAGUGAAGAGGGAAAAGCUCAAAUUUAAAAGCUGUUGUCUUUCAGGCAACCGCAUUGUAAUCUCAAGAAGUGUUUUCGAUUGUAGCCUGCGUAUAAGUACCUUGGAAUAGGUUGGCAUAGAGGGUGAAACUCCCGUCUUUGAUGCAGAUUACUAUGAUCAUGUGAUACACUUUCUAAGAGUCGAGUUGUUUGGGAAUGCAGCUCAAAAUGGGUGGUAAAUUCCAUCUAAAGCUAAAUAUUGGCCUGAGACCGAUAGCGAACAAGUACCGUGAGGGAAAGAUGAAAAGCACUUUGGAAAGAGAGUCAAACAGAACGUGAAAUUGCUGAAAGGGAAGCGUUUGAAGUUAGUCUGAUAGGAGUUGUUCAAUUGUUACUUUGGUUUCAAUGUAUGCAACUUUUUAUCGGUCAACAUCAAUUUUGAUUGAUGGAUAAAGGUAAUAGGAAUGUGGCUACAAUUUGUAGUGUUAUAGCCUAUUAUCAUAAACAUUGAUUGAGAUUGAGGACGGCAGUGUACCUUUUAGGAAGGUGUUCGCACCUAUUACACUAAGGAUGUUGACAAAAUAGCUUUAAGCGACCCGUCUUGAAACACGGACCAAGGAGUCUAACAUAUCUGCGAGUAUUUGAGUGACAAACUCGAAUGCGUAAUGAAAGUGAAUGUAGGUGUGAAGCGUAAGCUGCAACAUCGACCGAUCUGGAAUUUUUAUAAUGAUGGAUUUGAGUAAGAGCAUAUAUGUUGGGACCCGAAAGAUGGUGAACUAUGCCUGAAUAGGGUGAAGCCAGAGGAAACUCUGGUGGAGGCUCGUAGCGGUUCUGACGUGCAAAUCGAUCGUCAAAUUUGGGUAUAGGGGCGAAAGACUAAUCGAACCAUCUAGUAGCUGGUUCCUGCGA
rnacentral:rRNA from 1 species